AUGACGGUACCUGAAGAAGAAGCACCGGCUAACUACGUGCCAGCAGCCGCGGUAAUACGUAGGGUGCGAGCGUUAAUCGGAAUUACUGGGCGUAAAGCGUGCGCAGGCGGUUUGGUAAGACAGAUGUGAAAUCCCCGGGCUUAACCUGGGAACUGCAUUUGUGACUGCCAGACUAGAGUGUAGCAGAGGGGGGUAGAAUUCCACGUGUAGCAGUGAAAUGCGUAGAGAUGUGGAGGAAUACCGAUGGCGAAGGCAGCCCCCUGGGCUAACACUGACGCUCAUGCACGAAAGCGUGGGGAGCAAACAGGAUUAGAUACCCUGGUAGUCCACGCCCUAAACGAUGUCAACUAGGUGUUGGGGAAGGAGACUUCUUUAGUACCGCAGCUAACGCGUGAAGUUGACCGCCUGGGGAGUACGGUCGCAAGAUUAAAACUCAAAGGAAUUGACGG
rnacentral:rRNA from 1 species